rnacentral:rRNA from 1 species
UACGAAGGGGGCUAGCGUUGUUCGGAAUCACUGGGCGUAAAGGGCGUGUAGGCGGUCAAGUAAGUGGAAUGUGAAAUCCCCCGGCUUACCCGGGGACCGGCAUCCCAUACUGCUUGGCUUGAGUACGGGAGAGGAUGUGGGAAUUCCUGGUGUAGCGGUGAAAUGCGUAGAUAUCAGGAGGAACACCGGUGGCGAAGGCGCACAUCUGGCCCGAUACUGACGCUGAAGCGCGAAAGCUAGGGGAGCAAACGGG